rnacentral:tRNA from 1 species
CAAAGAAUAGUUUAGUUAGAAUUCUGGCUUUGGGAGUCAGGGGUGGGGGUUAAAGCCCCUCUUCUUUGA